GGUAAUUAUCUAUAUGUAUGUUCCUGUGACCAUUUUCUUAAUUGUUUUGGGUUUGUUUUUGUAGGUCCUUUUCUUCUCUUGUGUUUCCCACUUAGAGAAAAGUUCCUUUAGCAUUUGUUGUAGAGCUGGUUUGGUGGUGCUGAAUUCUCUUAGCUUUUGCUUCUCUGUAAAGCUUUUGAUUUCUGCAUCGAAUCUGAAUGAGAUCCUUGCUGGGUAGAGUAAUCUUCAUUGUAAGUUCUUCCCUUUCAUUACUUUAAGUAUAUCAUGCUACUCCCUUCUGGCUUGUAGACUUCCUGCUGAGAAAUCAGCUGUUAACCUUACGGGAGUUUCUUUGUAUGUUAUUUCUCAUUUUUCCCUUGCUGCUUUCAAUAAUUUUUCUUUGUCUUUAAUUUUUGCCAAUUUUAUUACUAUGUGUCUUGGCAUGUUUCUCCUUGGGUUUAUCCUGUAUGGGACUUGCUGUGCUUCCUGGACUUGGGUGGCUAUUUCCUUUCCCAUGUUAGGGAAGUUUUUGACUAUAAUCUAUUCAAAUAUUUUCUCUGGUCCUUUCUCUCUCUCUCUCUUCUCCUUCUGGGAC